AAUUAAAUCUUCUUCUUUCAACAAAUUAAUGUUUUCAGGAUAUUAGAAGAGAAAUUAGGCUGUGAAAGAAUAAAAGACAAAUGACUUAGAGAUAUUAUUUCCUUUCAUUUUUGGUGGGUUGUUGAAUUCAUUUUUUUUUGUUUUAAAGAAUAUUGAGAGAUUAAUUUAAUAUAUGUUUUCCAUUGUUUGUGCGGCUUGCCAAAAUGAGAAAGUUAGGUCCGUUGGUGUGAUUCAACAUAAACUGAUUAGGUAGUGGAUGCACAAUAAGUGCUCGGGCAAGUGUGGGCUAACCUAUGAGGAAAGAAAUAUGGUUAUCGUCAAUGUCGCAAAAUCUUGUCCAAAAGAGAGAUGUCUGAGAGUGUUGUGGAAGGAUGUAGAUUUA